UACGUAGGGUGCGAGCGUUGUCCGGAAUUAUUGGGCGUAAAGGGCUCGUAGGCGGUUUGUCGCGUCGGGAGUGAAAACCUCGGGCUUAACUCGGGGCUUGCUUUCGAUACGGGCAGACUGGAGGUAUGCAGGGGAGAACGGAAUUCCUGGUGUAGCGGUGAAAUGCGCAGAGUAUCAGGAGGAACACCGGUGGCGAAGGCGGGUCUCUGGGCCGAUACUGACGCUGAGGAGCGAAAGCGUGGGGAGCAAACGGG
rnacentral:rRNA from 1 species